GCCUGGCUAGCUCAGUCGGUAGAGCAUGAGACUCUUAAUCUCAGGGUAGUGGGUUCAAGCCCCAUGUUGGGCG
rnacentral:tRNA from 1 species